GUCCACGCUGUAAACGAUGGAUACUAGCUGUUGGAGGCAACUUCAGUGGCUAAGCGAAAGUGAUAAGUAUCCCACCUGGGGAGUACGUUCGCAAGAAUGAAACUCAAAGGAAUUGACGGGGGCCCGGCACAAGCGGUGGAGCAUGUGGUUUAAUUCGAUGAUACGCGAGGAACCUUACCAAGGCUUAAAUGGGAACGACAGGUUUGGUAACAGACUUUCUUCGGACGUUUUCUAAGGGCUGCAUGGUUGUCGU
rnacentral:rRNA from 1 species